UAAGGAAUAUUGGUCAAUGGACGAAAGUCUGAACCAGCCAUGCCGCGUGGAGGAUGAAGGUCCUCUGGAUUGUAAACUUCUUUUAUUUGGGACGAAAAAAGGGAAUUCUUUCUCACUUGACGGUACCAGAUGAAUAAGCACCGGCUAACUCCGUGCCAGCAGCCGCGGUAAUACGGAGGGUGCAAGCGUUAUCCGGAUUCACUGGGUUUAAAGGGUGCGUAGGCGGGCAGGUAAGUCAGUGGUGAAAUCUUCGAGCUUAACUCGGGAACUGCCAUUGAUACUAUCUAUCUUGAAUAUUGUGGAGGUAAGCGGAAUAUGUCAUGUAGCGGUGAAAUGCUUAGAUAUGACAUAGAACACCUAUUGCGAAGGCAGCUUACUACGCAUAUAUUGACGCUGAGGCACGAAAGCGUGGGGAUCAAAC
rnacentral:rRNA from 1 species